rnacentral:misc_RNA from 1 species
AAGUCGUAACAAGGUUUCCGUAGGUGAACCUGCGGAAGGAUCAUUACUGAAUGAAUGACUUGCACCUCGCUGUGCGCGUGGGUGCUCAUUGGCACCUCUUGAUCCUUGAUCUUGGUGCUCUCUCCAUCACUCCCACCACAAGUGGUGGACCUGCGUGGGAUGGGGGGUGCCCUUUUUCAAAGAUGUCCUAGGCUACACACAAAGCUGUGUCCUUGUAUGGUGUUGAAUUUAAACAUAUAAUAUAACUUUCAACAACGGAUCUCUUGGCUCUC